GCCGUAGCUCAAGGGUAGAGCAUCUGCUUUGCACCGGAAAGGCCCCAGGUUCAAGCCCUGGUGUCUCCA